UCAAAUCAAUGUUGUAAUAAAAGUAGGU
rnacentral:sRNA from 1 species